rnacentral:lncRNA from 1 species
CAACUGAAUCCAAUUCAAUUGGACUUGAUCCAAAAAUAAUUACUCAAUCAAAUUGAAUUAAUUAGUAAUCAAAUCACUAAUUAAACCUCUCAUAAAUAUUGAGUCCAAAUCCGAUGGGUAAUCGGACAUCAGAAUUCAUCGAUAUGUAACCCUGAUCGAAGAGUCCUAAACCAGUGGGACUCUUGACCCCGGUACCCAA